CUCCCUCCACCGCCGCCAUAGUUCGGACCCGUGGCGUCCGCCUUCGUCCCCUUCGCUAUACCGCCGCUUCCGUCUGGCACCACCCCGAACUCCAAGGACGAGACCUGCUCCGAUAGUCAUAGAGGAAUCGGAUCAUGUAAACCAUGGUAACUUAGUUCUCGACAGUUAGGUUAGGGUUCGUGCUUACACUGUGGCUGAGGGAGUCAGCGGUGUAGGGGCUGUAUGAAGGCUUGGAUCCGACGAAGUCGAGCUCGAACGUACCAUCGAUCGGGAGGAACGGUCCCGGAGGUGGCGCUCCGCCGUCUCGACUGGCAUCUUUGGCGUCGACUGGGACGACGCCGUCCGUCUGCUGCAAUCGCGCGUCGAUCGAGGUGGCGUACUCCAGAUUAAGGUACGGAUCUACGUCGGAGAAGAAGUGGUCCAUUGAUUUGCCCUUAGCACAAGGGAUCGGGAGGAGCCAGGACGGCG
rnacentral:lncRNA from 1 species